GGACAAUUCAUCUCCUCACAAUCUGUACAAAACCUUUUUUUUUUUUUUCCAAAAUGAAUUCUCUAUUCCACAUACGUCACUCUCUUCUUCCCUUAAUAUAUACUCCCUCGACCCACAAAUAUCCCCCUCUGUCUUCUUCAAUCAUUCUCAAAACAGACUUAUAUUGAUGUUUCCAUAAGAGAGACUUCAAAAUUUCAGAAACUCAGAACACCAAAAAUCAAAUCUUUACAUCUUGAAGGCCAGGCGCCGCUGACGCGGUGUGAAUGGAGCAGCAGCAGCAGCGACAACCCUCCUUGGCCGUCUGCCGUCGGAUACGCAAGAGAGAGAGAGAGAGAGAGAGAGGCAGAUGGGAGGUGAUGAGCAGAGGGUAAGGUGAGUGAGGGAAGGCGAUUGAGUGAGGGAGGCGUCGGAGCCGGCGAGCAGGUGGCGGCGGCGGGAGAAGAGGCGGUGGUUCUGGGAGAGAGAAAAAGAGAAUUAUAGAGAUAGGGGGGAGGGGACCGAAUUGUGAGUAUGGCUGGUAAUCGGUUCAAUUCGGUUAUAAUCGAACCGGUUAAUCAGAAUCGAUUAACGGUCAAAGUGAUAACCGAAAAUCGAACCGAUUAACCGAUUUAACCGGUUAACCGAAUUAACCGGUUAUUGAGGCAGAUUAGCAAAACAAAAUUGAUCCGACGACACAAGAUUUGCAAAACUGGAUCAUUUCAGCAAAGGCCGAAGGGAAUUGCCGGUGGAUUAGCCGACGAACUGGGGGAAGGCAGUGAUGCAGGUAAGAUGCGGCGGUGGGAACUGGGGGAGGGCAGCGACGUCGCUUGGCGCUUCCCUCAACCCUCGCAGAGUAGCAGAAAUUCGGGGGGAACUGGGGAAGGCCGAAGGGGAAGGAGGCAGAGCCGAUUCUGAUUUCUGAAAUUGGGGGAAACGGAAAUAGCUGGGAGCCCUAAUUCUUAUACAUUAUUUAAUUUAAGGGUUAAUUGCAUGAAAAUACACGAACUUUAGUCGCAAUUUCAUUUUGCACAUAACUUUUGAAACUUACAUUUUUAAUCAUGAACUUUGCAUUUGUUCCAAAUUUUCCUUAAAAUUGAGCUCCGGCAGCCGGAAAGAUGACGUGUCUUCAAACAUGCUACGCGUAUGUGACACGUCAUUAAUUCAAACGACGUGGCACAAAACGACGUCAUUUUAAUACCGCGUUUAUCAAUCCCCAAAUCGAAAACCCUAGCUCCCUCAAUCUUAGCCAUUAGCGGCGGCGCUCUCCGCCGAUAAAGGAGGAGAAAAGGGGAAUCGACGGCGUGAAAUGUGCGUCGUAUUAGUGUGGGCGUGUGAUUUUAAUUUCGAAGAGAAGUAUCGCUGAUUUAUGCUUAAUUUACUCUAUUUUUAAGGGUUUGUUUGUGCGUGUUUUAAGAUAAUCUUCUGGAAAUUGGUGCGUUUAUGAUGUAUUCUAUGCUUUGCAGGAGAUUUAGGCUUUCGAGAUGGAAGAAUGCAAUUUUGGAGAAUUUUGGAUGAAUUUGGCGCUUUUCUAGAUGUUCUGGUCUCCAGAGCAGAGAAAUCACCGUUCCUCUGGAGUUAGAGAAAUCACCGUUCCUCUGGGGUCAGAGAAAUCACCGUUUCUCUCGAGUCAGAGAAGUCAAAGUCCAGAGCAGAGAAGCGCCAGCGUCAGAAAAGCGAAGUGCCAGUACAUCGAAAUCAAAUCUCCAGUGCAGCGAAAUCAAUCGCCAGAGAAAUCACCAUUUCUCUGGAGACAGUGAAAUCAAGAAGCCAGUGUAGCGAAGUCAUCACCAGAGGAGUCAAUAGUCAGAGCAGCCAAGCAAAAGGCCAUUACAGCGGAAUCGCAAAAGUCCAUUACAGCGGAAUCGAGAAGCCAGAGAAAUCAUCGUUCCUCUGGCGAUACCAGAGAAAUCGCCAUUCCGCUGGCAACCCAUUCCUCUGGCGAUAGCAGAGAAAUCGUCAUUUCUCUGGCGCGACCCGUUUCCCGAGUGACAUCCAUUCCUCUGGCGAGAGCUGUGAAUUCAGCAAGAGUGGGAGUAUUUUCCGGAGCGUGCAUCCAGCUGGAGAGUUGCCUUAUUUCACACGAUUCUAUUACCUUUAGAAUUCUACUUUGCAUGGCAACUUCCAAGUUGAUCCGAAGGAAAUCUGAAAACUAUAAAUAGGUCAUCUUUUGACCUAUUGAAGGACAUCCCCCGAACCUAGAAUUCAUAUUAUCAGUUUUAUAGCUUUAGAAUUUUAUUGCUUUCUAGUUUUCAAGGCUUGGAUCAAGAUUGAAGAUUCAAGCCGCUACUUCAGUUUUUAUUCGGUUUUUAUACAAUUUAGUUUUUUUACA